GCCGCGGUAAUACGGAGGAUCCGAGCGUUAUCCGGAAUCAUUGGGCGUAAAGCGUGCGCAGGCGGUUCGGAAAGAAAGAUGUGAAAUCCCAGAGCUUAACUUUGGAACUGCAUUUUUAACUCUCGAACUAGAGUAUGUCAGAGGGGGGUAGAAUUCCACGUGUAGCAGUGAAAUGCGUAGAGAUGUGGAGGAAUACCGAUGGCGAAGGCAGCCCCUUGGGAUAAUACUGACGCUCAUGCACGAAAGCGUGGGGAGCAAACAG
rnacentral:rRNA from 1 species